GUUUAUCCCGCGGUAGGUUGUCUUCGCCUCUAAGCCAGUGCGUGGAAUUUAUAUCACACUGUGGACUAACGUCGUCCUUUAUUGUAGCCUGGUGUUGUGAUCAUCUCCUCCUUCGCUGACCUCGAGAACGGUUGUUCACUCUAGUUCCAGUGAGGACGCACGUUCCCGCGGCAGCCUGUGUCUCCGAGUAACACACAACCCGGCCUGGUGGAGGGCUGGAGUCACCACACGAGCUGCUGUCUUGUCUUGUCGUUCUUUUGUUUUGGUUUAUACGAGUUUUGCGGUCCGUGUUUUAUUUCAGUACCUGGUCAUAGUCGUGCACAGCACGCGUUUAUUCCUGUGUUCUGUUUAUAUCGUUUGCAUGUGUAUAAUUAUUUUAGUACUUCAGGUAUCCUGUGAGAGGGGAAUCUAACUUGCCUGUAGUUUCCCUGUAUGUGUGUUUGCCCUACAGCUGGGGUCGACUGGUGUUUUCAUAUUUUCUUUAUCCCCUUUUGUUUGUAUGAGCAGGCAUUGUGCUAUCCUGGAGGGGGGCUAGUCACCUGGUGGUGGAGUCCCGUCAGUGCAUAUUCACGUGUGAUCAUUGGUUGCUGUGUGGUUGCUGUGUCACUCUGGUCACUUUUCGUGUGCUGUGCCGUGUUUGCCUUCACAAGGGUGGUGUGAGUCCUGAAGCACACUUCCCAGUUAGCCUGCCGCCCCUCUAAGGUAAGUCUCUGCCUGCUAUAGUUUGUUUCCAUUUAAUUCCCUUCCCUAGCGUGUUUGUCAGCCCUGAACCUCAGGGUGCUGAUUGUUUAAGCCUUUUUAUUGAUUAUUAAAUAAAUGCCUUUUCUACUUUGACUAACCUCUCAGUCUGUCUAGGUCCAUCCCUUCCUCUAUACGCAUUCACCUCAUAAUAACAUAUCUUUAUAAUAAAUAGCAUCUUGUGGAAUUCACGACUCUUGUGUGGUGUGUGUUUCGAACCUGUUCUCAAGGGCUGAUGUGCCUAUUAGGACAUUUAGUUUAAAUAUUCUCUGGGUGCAAUUCCCAGGGUGGCGUAGUUGGCUACUUAAACAGGGCUGUGGGGUUCCCCUUUAUAGCUCCUGUUACAUAUAUAUCCGCUGAACCUAAUGAUGCGACAGCCAUAAACUCCAUUACCAACUGUUUAUUGGCAAUAAACAAAUGGAUGAACGAUAACUUUCUAAAA